GAUGAACGCUGGCUACAGGCUUAACACAUGCAAGUCGAGGGGAAACGGCAUUGAGUACUUGCACUGAAUGGACGUCGACCGGCGCACGGGUGAGUAACGCGUAUCCAACCUUCCCGUUACUGCGGGAUAACCUGCCGAAAGGCAGACUAAUACCGCAUGUUCUUCGAUGACGGCAUCAGAUUCGAAGCAAAGAUCCGUCGGUAACGGAGGGGGAUGCGUCUGAUUAGCUGGUUGGCGGGGCGACGGCCCACCAAGGCGACGAUCAGUAGGGGUUCUGAGAGGAAGGUCCCCCACAUUGGAGCUGAGACACGGUCCAAACUCCUACGGGAGGCAGCAGUGAGGAAUAUUGGUCAAUGGGCGGAAGCCUGAACCAGCCAAGUAGCGUGCAGGAGGACGGCCCUACGGGUUGUAAACUGCUUUUAUGCGGGGAUAAAGUGAGGGACGCGUCCCUUUUUGCAGGUACCGCAUGAAUACGGACCGCUA
rnacentral:rRNA from 1 species